CUUGAAACACAGUUCUCGUACGAGCACCGAAGUUAAGGAACCUCGAGCGUGUUCAUUACUUAAAUGGGUGACCGCUUGGGAAAACCAGGUAUC